rnacentral:snoRNA from 1 species
GCUCUGAUGAUUAGACUCCUUUGUUUAUUGAACCUGAUGACAACGUUCAUUCCUACAAAGAGAAUCCGGGGUU